CCCCGGCGCCCCAAGUGGUGGUCAUAAUUAUUGGGCCUAAAGCAUCCGUAGCCGGCUCUGUAAGUUUUCGGUUAAAUCUGUACGCUCAACGUACAGGCUGCCGGGAAUACUGCAGAGCUAGGGAGUGGGAGAGGUAGACGGUACUCGGUAGGAAGGGGUAAAAUCCUUUGAUCUAUUGAUGACCACCUGUGGCGAAGGCGGUCUACCAGAACACGUCCGACGGUGAGGGAUGAAAGCUGGGGGAGCAAACCGG
rnacentral:rRNA from 1 species